rnacentral:rRNA from 1 species
CCUACGGGAGGCAGCAGUGGGGAAUAUUGGGCAAUGGAGGAAACUCUGACCCAGCGACGCCGCGUGCGGGAUGAAGGCCUUCGGGUUGUAAACCGCUUUCAGUAGGGAAGAAGCGAAAGUGACGGUACCUACAGAAGAAGCACCGGCUAACUAUGUGCCAGCAGCCGCGGUAAU